GUUUGAUCCUGGCUCAGAACUAACGCUUGUGGUGUGUCUUAGUCAUGCAAGUCGAACGAGAAAGUCACCUUCGGGUGACGAGUACAGUGGCGAACGGGUGAGCAACACGUGGGCAACCUGCCCCUGGGUUGGGGAUAACACUUCCAACGAAGUGCUAAUACCGAAUGACAAGGCGAGUUGAUGACUCGUUUUUAAAGGUGGCCUCUACUUGUAAGCUGCCGCCUAGGGAUGGGCCCGCGUCGUAUUAGCUUGUUGGUAGGGUAAUGGCCUACCAAGGCGACGAUGCGUAGCCGGCCUGAGAGGGUGAACGGCCACACUGGCACUGAGAUAAGGGCCAGUCUCCUACGGGAGCCAGCAGUCUAGAAAUUUGCACAAUCGCCGAAAGGCGGAUGCAGCGACACCACGUGGAGGGAUGAAGCCCCUCGGGGUGUAAACUCCCUGUCAGAAGGGAAGAAGGCGCCGGGCGUUAAAUACCGCUCCGUUUGCUUGACGGUACCCUUCAAGAGGGAAGCUUCCGGCUAACUAC
rnacentral:rRNA from 1 species